AUGGGCACUUCUAGCAACCGAAUAACAAAUGAGGUUGUUAUUAGGUCUGGCUCACUAAGACCCUUGAAUACUUCGUGCUAUGCCUCCAGCUCAACAAGUGUGCUGAUCCCCUGGUAUCAGUUUCCUGGUGUGGACACUGAGGUUAAGGGAAUAGGGAACAGUGUCCCAGAAAGCAAGAUACAUUCAAUUCCUGAAUUCUAACUGCUCCUACUGUGGAAUCUGCAUAAUAUACUAACUUCCUUCCUGUGUAUUCAGAGGCAGACAACUGUAAACAGAAAUUGCAUUAGGGGAUGAGCAAUUAGAAAUUUAUGUUGAUUGACUAAAUAAGCUAUAUGGUCACAUGAU
rnacentral:lncRNA from 1 species